rnacentral:rRNA from 1 species
AUUGAACGCUGGCGGCAUGCCUUACACAUGCAAGUCGAACGGCAGCACGGGGGCAACCCUGGUGGCGAGUGGCGAACGGGUGAGUAAUGCAUCGGAACGUGCCCAGUAGUGGGGGAUAACCAGUCGAAAGACUGGCUAAUACCGCAUACGACCCAAGGGUGAAAGCGGGGGACCGUAAGGCCUCGCGCUAUUGGAGCGGCCGAUGUCUGAGUAGCUAGUUGGCGGGGUAAGAGCCCACCAAGGCGACGAUCAGUAGCUGGUCUGAGAGGACGACCAGCCACACUGGGACUGAGACACGGCCCAGACUCCUACGGGAGGCAGCAGUGGGGAAUUUUGGACAAUGGGCGCAAGCCUGAUCCAGCCAUGCCGCGUGCGGAAGAAGGCCUUCGGGUUGUAAACCGCUUUUGGCAGGAACGAAACGGCGCAGGCCAAUACCUUGCGCUAAUGACGGUACCUGCAGAAUAAGCACCGGCUAACUACGUGCCAGCCGCCGCGGUAAUAC